rnacentral:tRNA from 1 species
GGAGAGAUGGCGGAGUGGUCGAUCGCGUCUGUCUUGAAAACAGAUGAGCCGAAAGGUUCCAGGGGUUCGAAUCCCCUUCUCUCCU